UACGAAAGGUGCAAGCGUUACUCGGAAUCACUGGGCGUAAAGCGCACGUAGGCGGACUCGUAGGUCAAUUGUGAAAUACCUGGGCUCAACCCGGGAACUGCAGUUGAAACCGCUUGUCUUGAAUACCUGAGAGGGUGGGGGAAUACCUGGUGGAGAAGUGAAAUUCGUAGAGAUCAGGUGGAACACCGGAGGCGAAGGCGCCUGCCUGGCAGUGUAUUGACGCUGAGGGGCGAAAGUGCGGGGAGCAAACAGG
rnacentral:rRNA from 1 species